rnacentral:rRNA from 1 species
GACGAACGCUGGCGGCGUGCUUAACACAUGCAAGUCGAACGGAAAGGCCCUGCUUUUGUGGGGUGCUCGAGUGGCGAACGGGUGAGUAACACGUGAGUAACCUGCCCUUGACUUUGGGAUAACUUCAGGAAACUGGGGCUAAUACCGGAUAGGAGCUCCUGCUGCAUGGUGGGGGUUGGAAAGUGUCGGCGGUGGGGGAUGGACUCGCGGCUUAUCAGCUUGGUGGUGGGGUAGUGGCUUACCAAGGCUUUGACGGGUAGCCGGCCUGAGAGGGUGACCGGCCACAUUGGGACUGAGAUACGGCCCAGACUCCUACGGGAGGCAGCAGUGGGGAAUCUUGCACAAUGGGCGGAAGCCUGAUGCAGCAACGCCGCGUGCGGGAUGACGGCCUUCGGGUUGUAAACCGCUUUCGCCUGUGACGAAGCGUGAGUGACGGUAAUGGGUCAAGAAGCACCGGCUAACUACGUG